rnacentral:rRNA from 1 species
UACAGAGGUCCCAAGCGUUAUUCGGAUUCACUGGGCGUAAAGGGUGCGCAGGCGGCCGUGUGUGUCAGGUGUGAAAGCCCGGAGCUUAACUCCGGAAUUGCGCCUGAAACUACAUGGCUAGAGCAUUGGAGAGGGUAGCGGAAUUCACGGUGUAGCAGUGAAAUGCGUAGAUAUCGUGAGGAACACCAGAGGCGAAGGCGGCUACCUGGACAAUUGCUGACGCUCAGGCACGAAAGCGUGGGGAGCAAAAGGG